GAGCGAGGGAGGGGCCUACACGAGAGCACAGAGGGGGAGGGAAGAUAAUUUCCUUUCUGUAGUGUACACGCCGCAAGAAUACACCGGGAUAAGGACGAAAAAUAUAUAUAUAUCUAUAGGGAAGACGGUAAAGGAAAUACCACAGCCCGGUUGUCUUUUGUUUUGGGAAUUAAUCUAACUCAGAACGGAAGACUAACAUGGGGAGAUGGUUCUUCAGGAUUGACUUUCAAUAACCCUCUCUCCAUGCGAAAAAGUCUGGCGAGUAGACUGAAAAAGGCAAUAGCAGUCAGGGAAGACAUGUUUAGUGAUUUUAGUCCUGCGCUUGAGGUAGGAUGUUGAUGUAUUUUCGUAAAAUAUUUCUGUCUCUGGCACAAAUAAGGGGUCAACGGUGAAUGGGCAUAUUAUUCCAGGCACCGUAUCAUUAAGCAGUGUAGUUAAUUAAUUAGGUUAAUAAAACGAUGAAAUAGUCUAGGCCUUCUGCAGACUCAAUAUUGCUGUAACGUUUCAUGACUAACGUUGGUAGGCUAGGCCUAAACAAGGCUAUGAACCGGUGAAAAUUAACGUUGACUAAUUUUGUAUAGAAUUUAUUUGUAUUCUGCAUCGUAUCAAUGGCUGUAAGGGCAACCAUUUUUAAAGAAACAAGUAGUUAUAUCGAAUAUAUUGAUCAGAUUAUACACAUCUGAUCAUCUUUAAUAUCAAGGUUUGCAUAACAGUGGAUACAUAGGGACAGACUAUAUAAAACCCCAAUCGGUUUCUUACAAAACAUAAUUUUGACCACAGAAAAGAGUUCGACAGAGGCCACGGUAGAAAGGAUAGUUGAAAAUUCUAGCACUAGACAGGGAACAUCAGGCGUUUUUAAAUGUUAAUGUCGACCGACGUAACAUCAAUCAUGCUGCCUGUAUCUCGGGCUAUCAUGGACCGGGAUCGAGAGCUCCAGGACACAAUGGCCGGGGUGCAUCCCAACUCGACCGGGGCUUCUGUCGCAGCUCUCCGGGGAAUGAAGCGAGGAGACCCAGCAUCUGACGCGCAGACGUCGGCAGCUCUUGUGGAAUCGGCCGGGGCAGAGUGCAAGCGUCCCCGGAUUGACGCAUCUGGAGUAGUCGCAGAGGUCGGCCAGAACAAUGACCCCCUGACCCUUGGUUACCAUGGAUACCCAACCCACAGUCAGGGCUCUCAGGAUGCAGCAGGUGGUCAAGAGGGUCUCGUCCCCCCAUCCUUCUCCGCCUUCCCCCCUCCUCCCCCUCCACCCCCCCAGAACGGCUUGGCCCUGGAGUACGGGGCCAGUCUGUACGCCGCAGGGGCCAUCCAGGGGUCGGUGGAGGCCGGACAGGCAGGCCUUAACACCCCGACAAGUGUCCCAAACAGCUUAACCACCCACCAGUCAGAUGUGUCGUCACAGAUUGAUACCCAGUUGGUGGGUACAGGAGGUGUUGGCGGGGGGUCCGUAGGGGACGACUCAGAGAAGGGGACCCCGAAACGCCUCCACGUCUCCAACAUUCCCUUCCGCUUCAGAGACCCUGACCUCCGGCAGAUGUUUGGGCAAUUUGGAAAGAUCCUCGACGUAGAGAUCAUAUUCAACGAGAGAGGAUCGAAGGGUUUUGGCUUUGUGACGUUUGAGACGAGCGCAGACGCUGAGAAGGCCAGAGCUGCUCUCCACGGAACUCUGGUGGAAGGACGCAAGGUUGAGGUCAACAAUGCCACAGCCAGGGUGAUGACCAAUAAGAAAAUGGUCACCCCAUAUUCUAAUGGAGGAGAGGGGCUCGCCGCUCUACCUUAUGGGCUAUUAAAUGCCAACUCCCCUACAGCCGGGUGGAAGUUGAGUCCAAUGGUUGGAGCCAUGUACAGCCCAGAGCUCUAUACAGUCCCUGGCUUCCCGUACCCUGCGGCGGCUGCCACAGCGGCAGCGACCUUUAGGGGCGCCCACCUCCGGGGUCGUGGCCGGCCGGUCUACAGUGCUGUCAGGGCAGCCCUACCCCAGCAAGCUAUACCUACAUACCCAGGUGUGAUGUAUCAGGAAGGGUUUUACGGUGCCGCAGACCUCUAUAAUAGUGUUUCAGGACAUUAGUGGCAGAUUGCCCCAGGUAGGGUCCCAUCAUCACGUCACUGUGUGAUCAGCCAGUGUGCAUCCAUCCUAUUACUAUGCGUUCCACUGACUGACUGACUGCUACUGGUGUUUUAUUGACCAUCCCAGAUUGAAAUGCCUCUUUAUUUCUGUUUCUAUUACUAACUCACUGGAUUCUGACAUGGGUGGAGUUGCAGAACGGGGGAGAAAGGGAAUCGUUAUAACAAGGAUGACAAUAUUACCUUCUAAAGGAAUUAGACAUAACAUGAUGGACAUUUUAAAGUUUUGUUCAGUUUAAAAAAUUAAAUAAAAAUAGUACAAUAAAUCAUACACACAGAUGAAAACAACAUAGGAUUUUGCCACGAUUCUUAUGCAGUCUUUAUAACGGCCACCCUUAGAUAUGAAGUAUAGCCAAAAUGAGAGGUACACUUUGCCAGUAAUGGCUGACAUGGUUUCUGAAAGUUGAGGCUGAGUAGCUUAAAGACAGCUCACAGAGGAUCUCCAGGAUCUGAGGAUCAACACAGGUCCACAGACUCUCAGGGACAUGGAUCUUCAUCUUAAUGAGUCGUUCUGACCCCUUCCUGGUAUCUCCCUAUAUCUGUUCCACCUGUGGCAUGCUAACUGAAUCAAUGUUGGCAUGCAGACACACUUAUACCCCUCUUCCCCAUUCUCCUCUUCUCUUCUCCUCUCCCUGUAUCCUCCUCUUCCUAUCUCCCCCCCCCCACCCCAGCAGAUGUGUGUGUUACUGAAUACAGGGACUUGGUCCUGAACUGAUCUGUAGGUUAGAAUGCAGUGGUGUGUUGCCAAGGAAGACAGUCUCCUCUUGUUUUGAGUUUGGGGUGCAUGCUGUCCGGCGUCAGUGGUUGGUUGUGACCAUGCGAGUGUGUAUGUGUCCCCUCGCCCUUAAUUGUAUUGGCUGGCCAUCUUCUGUGUGUCCUUCAUUCGUUUUUCCCUAUUAAAGGAAUAAUGAUCCUUGAUCCUGAUCACCUGUUUAUUCACUUCUCUUUCUUUAACACUGUGUUUUUGAUGGGAAGGAGGAGAUUUCCCACCUGAGGUUAUGCACACUUUCUCCUGUCUUUGUCUCUCCCUCCACCUCCAACAAGACAUCAAUUAUCAGAUGAAUUGAAUGAAGAAAAGCUGCGGCACACUUGAUGCAAGGCCUAUAUCAUUGCCACAAACCGAGGCCCUAGUGUUUUUUUUGUUGGUCAUGGAGGGAGACCGACACGGGGAAAAGGCCUCUGCUACAUUCUCUGAAUGUCAUGUUGCACCAGAUGACCUGUUGUUGCUGCUUGUGUUAGUCUCCUUUUUCUGCUGUUAUAAAGGAACAUAGCUUCACUCUCAUUCAUUCCUGGGGUAUUGUGUGAGGGAGUCGAUAACAAUUUACUAACAGCCGUGUUCUCGCUGUCUGUCUGUCUGUCCCUUCCUUCUUUAGGGUGGCUAUGCUGCGUAUCGCUACGCUCAGCCGACUGCGGUAGCUGGUCCUGCAGGAGCAGCGGCUGCCGCAGCAGCUGCCUACAGUGAUGGCUACGGACGGGUGUAUACGACAGACCCUUACCACGCUGCACUAAACCCUGCCACAGCUGCAGCCUACGGUGUAGGAGCUAUGGCCACACUGUACAGGGGAGGCUACAGUAGAUUUGCGCCCUACUAAAGAAGAACCACAUUUCCCAGGAGCUCUCUCAUCCUGUUUUGAACAAUCUAUAAAAGAGCUCCCUCUGCUGUCCAGGAUGGAGAUUGCAACACGUUGACGCAAGUUUGUAGCCUACCAUGGAAACAUUUAUAUUUCAAAAUCUCCUGCUGUCCACUCUUUUUUCGCUUCAAACAAAAAUAGGAAUGGCGUUUUAAAGACUGGUAGAAAGCCUUGACAAAGAAAAGAAAAUAUAAAAAAAAUGUGUAUUUGAACCAAAUGGCCGCUUGUUUCCAUUGCACGGCUGUAUUAUAGUCCCCCUGUUUCUCCCUCUCGACACUCUCAGCAGCACAAGACACAGAAUGGUCGCCCCCAGCUAGCGUACCUCCAGAGCCUAUCAUGUAACUGGUGUCCUGACCGUUAACUGAACACUGAGACAAACCCCCUACCACACGUAUAACAGCCAAGGUGUAAUGUGGCAUGUACUAUACACAACUCAUACAUCAAGAAUGGAGGCGGAGCCUAGUUAUGGAAGACAGAACUGUGACUGCCAGUGUCUGCAGGUCUGUGGAGCCUGAAUGAGCGAGAAACCACAGCAACCAAGCACCAAAAGCAUUUUGGAACAGAAAGACAAUUUGCAAUCAAAAUGGAGGAUGUGACUCCAUGUUUCCUCUUGUGGGGUGAAGGAGUAUGAGAGAGGAAAUGACAUCAUUGCAGAGAGAGAGAGAGAGAGAGAGAGAGAGAGUGGAUGGACUGUUUUUUUUAACACUAUUAGAAAUGACUCACUUCAAACUGAGCAGUAAAAGGAUUAUCAUAGCUGUUCCUUACCUCAAAGUUUUCUUAGUCUGUGAAAAUGGGGAACCUUUAAAAAUUUAAUUGUUACAAUUAUGCAAAUAAAUUAGUUAGAGAGAAAAAAAGUUACCAAAUUAUUAUUAUUAUUAUUAUUGCUGAUUUAUAGCGUUGUCUUUAUUGCGUUAUUAUUGUUAGUUUCAGUGGUUCUCUGAGCACACCUCCACACACAUUUUCCACUUCCCUAGAAACGAGGUCCAGGGGCUAGGACUACAGUGUAGAUAAUAUCUAUGUCAUUCACUACAAUGGGCAACACUACACGUCCCCUCUACAUAACACAAUAUUAUACCAAACUAAACUUCCAGUGCACAACAUCAUAUUCUCACAAAUCUUCACGCUAUACACAAAUCACUCAGAACUAUAUAUUUCAUCACUACACUACUAUAGAGGUACAGGCUGGCUUUUUAUUGCAUUGUGAAUGUUAGGCUGAGACAUAUAUCACUGAUAUCAUUGAAACAACCAGAACCUAGUGUCCUAGAAUAAACUUAAUCAGUUAUAUUUCUUUGAAUAGUUAUGAUAGGGAUGUAUUAUUUGGCUAUAUGAUUGAUUUCCGUAACUUGUUCUGUCUUUUAGAAGAGCAGGUAAACAUCAAGUACAGUCUUCCUGAGAAUAGCUACGUUGGUAAUAGAUAGUGAGAUUCUGUCAACAGGCGUUGAAAGAGGGACACCAUCAAUAUGAAAAAUAUUUAAUGCAAAAUACCAUACUAUUGUGCAUAUUUCUAUAUCCUUAUACUCUAUUUCCAAAUGUGGUUGUUUUUGCCUUUUUUUUGUUCCAAAGAUUUGUAGAAAAGCACACUUUUAGUCAUGUGUAUGAUAAAUAUAUUAUUGUUCUUGUGGUUAUUAUUAUAAGUGCGGUCUUUUUAUUUGUUGCAUUAGCUCGUUAUGUUUUUUCUAUUGGUAAAUGUUGUUGUUCCUCCUAAAGUAAGGUGACAUUUUCAUUUCAAGAUUAGUUGAAAUCUGAUAUUUUUCUCCCUCUUGUGUUGUUUUCUAGGGCAGAGGGGAAUGGGCUCUUUGGUAGUUCAAAGAGGGAGGGUACCAUAGAGGUAUGCCACUAUGACAUCAGCCUAUCUAGUGUUCUAUAUCUAUGGCGUGAACAAAACAGGAAAGCAUGUAAAAACUACCAAACUAAUUUUCUCAAUGGAAGAAACAGGACUUUUUGGUCCAGACUGAAAUAGGGUGAUGGGGGGUUGGCAAGCAUUGGAUUGAGUAUUUUUCCUCCCCAAAAAUAGGUAAGGCUGAAAUGUUUGGGCCUCACAAUUUAUUCCAAGUCCAAAGUUUACAGUAGACAAGAAUACGCUGGAAUGAAUGGUGGCCUGACAAGCACUUCUUGUGAAGUAAUCUAGUCACUCUAGUCACUCUGUGACAAAGACUCCUAACAUUUCAGUGCUGAAAUGAAUCGGUUGAGGUUUAAAACGGAUGUGAAGAGUGUAGCGCUCGUGUGCUGUCUAGGUUAAAGGGCAUGCAGUUUUGAAUGAUCCAAGUAUACAAAAGGUUGUAAGUGUUAUCGUUUGGUUUGUACAAUGGUAAAUGUUUCAAAGAAAAUGUUAUGUGGGGCAUGAACUAAUUACUAUGAAACAAUAUUUCAAAAUGCUGCAGUCAUUGUUUAUUUUGAAAUGUUUGCUCUAUUUUUCAUUUUAUCUUCGGUUUUCUGGCUGUGCGUACCACUCUUCUCAGUGUGAACUUAAUCUAAGACUUCAACAGGGGUCAAACUCUUCUCUGGUCAUUUGACUUUAUUAUCAUGUAUUGCAAAAGUGGACUGAAAUAUGAAUAACUGAAAAGAUACCGCCAAAGAUAGUUAUUUAUGCCCUAUUUCUUUGGUUACCAAAUUGAGAAACGCAGAGCAAAGUGGAUAAAUGAUUGACAACCUUUUUAACCAAUCAACAUGGGCAACUAGCAUGAUGUUGUUCUCCAGGAAGUAGAGUUUGAGACCCCUGACCUAAAUGUUUUGCAUGAUUUUUCUGUCUUUUGAGAACAGACUCCAACAGCAUUCGGUUGCAGUAGUCAUCUUUUACCACUAAACUCCAUUGAGAAUGCUAGGCAGCUAGCCCUUUUUUAUGCUUAGGAUGCUAGUGUAGCAAAGAAGAGCACAGUGCUGUUUGUCAAAGACUCAGGCCCAGUGAUGGGCAAAACAAAAUGGCCACCACAACGAGGCAAGAACACAAUGGCAACGUUCUAAUUUCCAUACCAGCAUAUUACUUUGAAUUCAUACCAUGAUACAGUGCUUCAUACUAAGUAGUAUAUUUGUGUGGAUAUUGGAACAGAGCCAUGGAGUAGGCUCCUUGUAUUAUAUUAUACAGUGAGGUGGUUCUUCUUAAUCACUGUAGGUUUCAAAUGGAAGUGACUGUCCUUUUUUGAAUCUCUUCCCCUCUGUCAUGUUUAUCCCUUGGCUGCCAUUAUGCUAUUUUGCUAGUGAAUGUCCAUAUAAAAUCUUUUAUAUAAAAUA